GACCCUGUAGCUCAGGGGUAGAGCACCUGACUUUUAAUCAGGGGGUCGCAGGUUCGAUUCCUGCCAGGGUCA
rnacentral:tRNA from 2 species